rnacentral:rRNA from 1 species
CGCGCAGGCGGCCAGAUAAGUCAGAUGUGAAAGCCCGGGGCUCAACCCCGGAAGUGCAUUUGAAACUGUUUGGCUUGAGUAUGGUAGAGGGAAGUGGAACUCCUGGUGUAGCGGUGAAAUGCGUAGAUAUCAGGAGGAACACCGGUGGCGAAGGCGACUUCCCGGACCAAUACUGACGCUGAGGCGCGAAAGGUGUGGGUAGCAAACA